rnacentral:rRNA from 1 species
GACGAACGCUGGCGGCGUGCUUAACACAUGCAAGUCGAGCGGUAAGGCCCUUUCGGGGGUACACGAGCGGCGAACGGGUGAGUAACACGUGGGUGACCUGCCCUCAGCUCUGGGAUAAGCCUGGGAAACCGGGUCUAAUACUGGAUAUGACUCCAUGACGCAUGUUGUGGGGUGGAAAGCCUUGUGCGGCUGAGGAUGGGCCCGCGGCCUAUCAGCUUGUUGGUGGGGUGAUGGCCUACCGAGGCGACGACGGGUAGCCGGCCUGAGAGGGCGACCGGCCACACUGGGACUGAGACACGGCCCAGACUCCUACGGGAGGCAGCAGUGGGGAAUCUUGCGCAAUGGGCGAAAGCCUGAUGCAGCGACGCCGCGUGAGGGAUGAAGGCCUCGGUUGUAAC